rnacentral:rRNA from 1 species
CUACGUGCCAGCAGCCGCGGUAAUACGGAAGGUCCAGGCGUUAUCCGGAUUUAUUGGGUUUAAAGGGAGCGCAGGCGGGAGUAUAAGUCAGCUGUUAAAUAUCAGAGCCCAACUCUGUUAUGCAGUUGAAACUAUAUUUCUUGAGUACGCACAGGGAUGGCGGAAUUCAGGGUGUAGCGGUGAAAUGCUUAGAUAUCCUGAAGAACUCCGAUCGCGAAGGCAGCCAUCCGGAGCGUAACUGACGCUGAGGCUCGAAGGUGCGGGUAUCGAACAGGAUUAGAUACCCUGGUAGUCCGCACGGUAAACGAUGAAUACUCGCAGUUCGGUCAUUAUGAUUGAGUUGUCCAGCGAAAGCGUUAAGUAUUCCACCUGGGGAGUACGCCGGCAACGGUGAAACUCAAAGGAAUUGACGGGGGCCCGCACAAGCGGAGGAACAUGUGGUUUAAUUCGAUGAUACGCGAGGAACCUUACCCGGGCUUGAAC